CACAAGCAAUGCAACCACAGAAUCUCCUUCCAGAAGCCAACGAGGUGUGAGCAAAGCUGGAAUAAGGUGAAAAUUUCACCCGAUGAAGUGCCAAUGAACAAUUUAUUUCUGGCCACCACACCAUUUCACAGCAUCAGUCAGAGAAAAUUUUGAGGUAGAAGAAUGGCAGCCAUCAAUGAGAAACACCACUUUCCUGGGGAAUUCAAGCUGAAGCAAUAACUUGUUCAUCAAUCCUAAGAGUCAAAAAGUUACAGUGAAGAGUUGAUGAGCCAAUGCAUAGACAGGUAAUAGUGUUUUAUUUUACUACCUU
rnacentral:lncRNA from 1 species